GGCGCCGCGCGCUACACUGAUGCAGGCAGCGAGUCUAUCACCUUGGCCGGAAGGCCUGGGUAAUCUUGUGAAACUGCAUCGUGCUGGGGAUAGACCAUUGUAAUUAUUGGUCUUCAACGAGGAAUUCCUAGUAAGCGCAAGUCAUCAGCUUGCGUUGAUUACGUCCCUGCCCUUUGUACACACCGCCCGUCGGUAUUUCCGAUUGAAUGGCUUAGUGAGCACUUUGGAUUGCGGAGGGCGGCCGCAAGGCUGGCCUUUGCGAGAAGAUGGUCAAACUUGGUCAUUUAGAGGAAGUAAAAGUCGUAACAAGGUUUCCGUAGGUGAACCUGCGGAAGGAUCAUUAACAAAAACGGGGAGCGGCGGCGGCGGGGGUGGUGGGUGCGUCGCAAGGCGCGUCCGUCAUCUUACCGACCCCACUCCCAAUCCACCUUUGUGAAUCGGGCGCGGCGCAGCGAUGCGUCGGGCUUAGUCGGGCGUGGGCGUCGUGUUGGUGCGUGCGUGCAAGUGGUGUUGUCGUUUCGUACGACAGCCGCACAACACAUGCAUGCAUACACACACAUAUCUUAAUGUCUAAUCUUUUGUCGAAAGACACAAAGCAACAUAAAACAACUUUUAACAAUGGAUCUCUAGGCUCUUGCAACGAUGAAGAACGCAGUGAAUUGCGAUAAGUAAUGUGACUUGCAUUCAUUUGUGAAUCAUCGAAUCUUUGAACGCACCUUGCACUUGCAGAGUCUAUCUGCAAGUAUACCUGUUUGAGUAUCAUACACAUUUAUCCACGCGAGUGGGAUUUGGGGUUCAGCGCGCGCGCCGUGCUGUUGCCUAAAAUGCAGCGAGGAACGAGGGCGACGUGGUCGUGCUCUUACGUGAGGAUGUUUGUGCUCCGGCGCAAAGUAAUCACAACGGGAGAACAACCGCCGAGUUCUGCAACGUUUCUGGUCGUGACGCCGCGAGGCGCCACACUCUGUACACAAUGUGAUCUCAAAUCAGGCAAGAAGACCCGCUGAACUUAAGCAUAUCAGUAAGCGGAGGAAAAGAAACUAACAAGGAUUCCCUCAGUAAUGGCGAAUGAACCGGGAAGAGCUCAAAUUUAAAAUCUGGCUGCUUCGCAGUCCGAGUUGUAAUUUUUAGAGGCGUUAUCGAGCGGCGCGGGAAGACCAAGUUCCUUGGAACAGGACAUCGUAGAGGGUGAGAAUCCCGUUGGUCUUUCGGCAGCCGCGCAUGAGGCGUCCUCGACGAGUCGGGUUGCUUGGGAAUGCAGCUCAAAAUGGGUGGUAAAUUUCAUCUAAAGCUAAAUAUUGGCAAGAGACCGAUAGCGAACAAGUACCGUGAGGGAAAGAUGAAAAGAACUUUGAAAAGAGAGUUAAACAGUACGUGAAAUUGUUAAAAGGGAAGCGCUUGAAGCCAGUAUUGUGGCGCUCGGUUCAGCCGUGAUUACAAACAUGUGUCGCGGUGCAUUCCGGGCGCCGCAAGUCAGCAUCAGUUCGGCGCGGCGGACAAGGGCGCGAGGAAGGUGACGAUCCGCUUCGGCGUUUCGUUUUAUAGACUCGUGCUGAUACGCGGCGGCGGACUGAGGACGGCAGCGUGCAAGGGUCGAGUUGUGCCAUGCGGCUGCGCGGGACAAAGACUGCACGCAGACUUUGUGGCGCGCAGCUUCAUUCGUGCAAUAGACACUCCAACGCUCAGGAUGCUGACGAAAUGGCUUUAAACGACCCGUCUUGAAACACGGACCAAGGAGUCCAACACCUGUGCGAGUAUUAGGGUGGCAUAAACCCUGGUGCGCAAUGAAAGUGAACAGUGGGAGCUGCGCAAGCGGCGCACCAUUGACCCCGCGGAAAGGCAUUGCUGGACCGUCGGGCGUCGGAGCACAGUUGUUGGGACCCGAAAGAUGGUGAACUAUGCCUGAAUAGGGUAAAGUCAGAGGAAACUCUGAUGGAGGCUCGUAGAGGUUCUGACGUGCAAAUCGAUCUUCAAAUUUGGGUAUAGGGGCGAAAGACUAAUCGAACC
rnacentral:rRNA from 1 species